UCUUCAGUGAGGUCAAUCCAUACCUGUUCUUCCGUAAAGAGAAACAGUACAUGAUGAAUGAAGAAGGCUAAAAUGUGAUUUCAGCAGCUCCGCAUCUCCCGAGCGACAAUACAUUUCGGGAGGUGACGUUCUGAU